rnacentral:tRNA from 1 species
GGAGACGUAGCUCAGUUGGCAGAGUGCUUCCCUAGAAUGCAUGAGGCCCUGAGUUCAACCCUCAGCUCCA